ensembl:snRNA U6 U6 spliceosomal RNA
GUGCUUGUUUCAGCAGCACGUGUACUAAAACUGGAACGAUACAGAGAAGAUUAGAAUGGUCCUUGCACAAGGAUGACACACAAGUUCACAAAACGUUCUAUAUUUUU